UGAAUACAUAGGUUAACGAGGCGAACCGGGGGAACUGAAACAUCUAAGUACCCCGAGGAAAAGAAAUCAACCGAGAUUCCCCCAGUAGCGGCGAGCGAACGGGGAGCAGCCCAGAGUCUGAAUCAGCUUGUGUGUUAGUGGAACGGUCUGGAAAGUCCGACGGUACAGGGUGAUAGUCCCGUACACCAAAAUGCACAGGCUGUGAACUCGAAGAGUAGGGCGGGACACGUGGUAUCCUGUCUGAAUAUGGGGGGACCAUCCUCCAAGGCUAAAUACUCCUGACUGACCGAUAGUGAACCAGUACCGUGAGGGAAAGGCGAAAAGAACCCCGGCGAGGGGAGUGAAAAAGAACCUGAAACCGUGUACGUACAAGCAGUGGGAGCACCUUCGGGUGUGACUGCGUACCUUUUGUAUAAUGGGUCAGCGACUUAUAUUCUGUAGCAAGGUUAACCGUAUAGGGGAGCCGCAGGGAAACCGAGUCUUAACUGGGCGUUAAGUUGCAGGGUAUAGACCCGAAACCCGGUGAUCUAGCCAUGGGCAGGUUGAAGGUUGGGUAACACUAACUGGAGGACCGAACCGACUAAUGUUGAAAAAUUAGCGGAUGACUUGUGGCUGGGGGUGAAAGGCCAAUCAAACCGGGAGAUAGCUGGUUCUCCCCGAAAGCUAUUUAGGUAGCGCCUCGUGAACUCAUCUUCGGGGGUAGAGCACUGUUUCGGCUAGGGGGUCAUCCCGACUUACCAACCCGAUGCAAACUACGAAUACCGAAGAAUGUUAUCACGGGAGACACACGGCGGGUGCUAACGUCCGUCGUGAAGAGGGAAACAACCCAGACCGCCAGCUAAGGUCCCAAAGUCAUGGUUAAGUGGGAAACGAUGUGGGAAGGCACAGACAGCCAGGAUGUUGGCUUAGAAGCAGCCAUCAUUUAAAGAAAGCGUAAUAGCUCACUGGUCGAGUCGGCCUGCGCGGAAGAUGUAACGGGGCUAAACCAUGCACCGAAGCUGCGGCAGCGACACUAUGUGUUGUUGGGUAGGGGAGCGUUCUGUAAGCCUGCGAA
rnacentral:rRNA from 1 species